GACGAACGCUGGCGGCGUGCUUAACACAUGCAAGUCGAACGGAAAGGCCCUGCUUUUGUGGGGUGCUCGAGUGGCGAACGGGUGCGUAACACGUGAGUAACCUGCCCUUGACUUUGGGAUAACUUCAGGAAACUGGGGCUAAUACCGGAUCGGAGCUCCUGCUGCAUGGUGGGGGUUGGAAAGUUUCGGCGGUUGGGGAUGGACUCGCGGCUUAUCAUCUUGUUGGUGGGGUAGUGGCUUACCAAGGCUUUGACGGGUAGCCGGCCUGAGAGGGUGACCGGCCACAUUGGGACUGAGAUACGGCCCAGACUCCUACGGGAGGCAGCAGUGGGGAAUAUUGCACAAUGGGCGGAAGCCUGAUGCAGCAACGCCGCGUGCGGGAUGACGGCCUUCGGGUUGUAAACCGCUUUCGCCUGUGACGAAGCGUGAGUGACGGUAAUGGGUAAAGAAGCACCGGCUAACUACGUG
rnacentral:rRNA from 1 species